AGAAAAUCUAUACUUAAAGUAAUGCCUAAUUUUAUUAGGUAUAAUUUUAAUAUUUUUCCUCUUUGUCUCAUCCAUUCUUUUCAUCAUUUUCUUUUCUAUUUUCUUUCUUUCCAUGCCUUGAAUCUGUUGUAUUUUUCUUUACUUUAUAUUCAGUUCAUUGUGCAGAGAACAUAUGAAAAUCAUUUUUUCAUAUAAGAGAUGGAAUUAUCAAAUAAAGUCCUCAUGAAUGAGAGAUGCCAUUCCUGACCAAGAUUUGAUAAUAAUUUCAAAGAUAAAGGGAUCACAUGGCAAAUGGCAGAUAGGUAUAUGUCCAGGUCAUUCUUUCCUUUUCAGGAUCUUGGCUUUCAUUGUGUGGUUCCCCAUAGGAUUGAGGAAGUAUGUUUUCUGCCUCUGUCAAUCAGAGGCUAAAGUAAGCACUAGCUGUCAGAUUUUGGCCUUACAUUUUUGAGUCUGUGAUAUGAAUUCUUGGAGGAAGAAGAAAUGUUGAGUUUAUCUUAGUAUUCUCCUCUUCCUCUUCCUAUCUUGUAUCUCCAAAGUCCUGGCUAUGUUAUUUACCCUCUAGUGUCCUCAUGAAUUAGAUUUACACAUUAUAUUUUCUUUUAGUUAUAUGGGUUAGAAAGUUAGAUUCAGAUAUUCCUUCAUGGACAGAAGUUAAAUUUGUGUGACUUUAUUUUAACUUUGCUUUUAAUACGAAUGUUUUAGAAAGAAAAUAUAUGACAUCAUUGUUCUGCUUUUUGUUUGUAUGUAUGUUUUUGUGAAUACACACUUAUAUAAAUUGAUGUUAGAAUUAAUACAUGUGCUUGAUUAGACCAGCUUUUUAUAUGUGUGUAUGAUGCGCUUUUUUUAUGUGGGACAUCUCUCCUCCCACUCAUUGCUUUUCAGAACUAGGAAUUUGGAAGCUUCCACCUCUUGGCUGCUUCUUCCCUGCUCCUCAAUUUAUAAUUCCUAGAAAGCAUUGUAUGAGGAGUCCUAAGUAUGCUUAUUGGCAUUACUAGUAAAGAAUUUUAUUGGAAAAGGCCAAUCAUUGCUGCUUUUAGGGAAACAGAAUUUAUAGUAUAGUUUAAACAGACAGGGAAAGGUCAGAAAGGAAGGGACAUAGAUGUUCAGUAGAUGUUUAGGAAACAGUGACCUGGUUGGAUGGACAGAUCACUCAGUGUUGUAUCUUCUUUAUGGAAGGUCUGCAAAUGUUAAUAUCUGUUUACACUCAUAACUGCAAGGAUUUGAAUACAUUUGUACUUUCUGAAUAAUUCAGAAAUAAAC
rnacentral:lncRNA from 1 species